ensembl:antisense Gm15594 uncharacterized LOC110316296
GAAUGUGGAUACACUGAAGGAUUCGCCUUUGGGAGGUUCAUUUCUCUUUCAGUAUUUGGCUUACAUAUGUUAUUACUUUUUUUUUUUUUUUAAGUAACAUGCUGACAUAUUUGUGUAACUUGAUCUUUAAAUUUACUGAUUCCUGAAUUUGCACAGGGAUUUUUUUUUUCUCAAAGCUAUCCAUGCUUCUGCUCUGUGACAGUGACAUCCUCCAAGCAAGGAGCUUACAGCUGGCCUAGUAACAUGGAGGUCACAGACACGGAAACCCAGGCCAGCAGGAGAGAUCUGUUCGGUGGGACGCAGAAUAUAACCAGAAGGAAAGAAAGAAUGAAGAGUAUCACUUACUCAAAAUGUCCCUGAGCAGCUGCAACGCACAAGGGUGUGAAGCCAUUUUUAUCAGCAGCGUCGACUCGGGCUUCUGCAUUCAGCAGCAAUCGCACACAGUCUACAGGAUUUUAACAGAAGGUCACUCAGUGCAGUGAUGUGCCAGGUUCCCUCUAAGCUGUGAGGAGAAUCUAACAGCAAAGGCCAACCUAAUAGUUCUGUCUUGCUGGAUGUGGCACACCACAGACUUUCAUAUGGAGAGCCAUCUCUUUCCCUGAAGACAGGAUAUCUACGUCCACAGCCACCGAGACGUGGUUUUAAAAAAUAUUUCGAGGAAAGUUGUUGACGGGUAAAAAAAGGAAUACCAUAUACCAGAAAAAUAUUUUGCUAGAUUCUAGGCCAGAGUUUCUUCAAAAGAAUGUUUUGGGGCAGACAAUCAGAUCCAUUUAGCAAAUUGUAUUUAUAUAGUUACAUUCUUACAGAAUGAUUAAUGUUAAUUUAAUCAUCACAGUGCUUCUAUGUGGGCCAUCCUACACUUGGCUACUUGAAGAUCAAGGAAAGCCCACAGAAAGCCACCUGAGACACAAACAUCACUAACACAGAAGUAUCAUAAAUAAUACUGCAUGAUCUAAAUUUAAUUUCUCUACAGUGAGGAAAAUUCCCCCAGGGCCUCUGAAUUCCAAAGUGCUUUAAAUCUACUGAGUCUCCUUAGCUCUGCGUCUAUCUGAGCCAACCAGGAAAUAGUCCACAGUGCACAUACCGUAGUAACUCAGCACGUGUCGUCAAGCCAUCUCUUUUUCUGUGUUACCACGUGUUUUAGUAUAGGUAACUACAAGCUUUGCAUUUUAAAGAGUAAAGAGAAUUCUUAGUCUUUGCUGUCAUAACAUUUAUAGUAAGUUUUCACUUCUCAAAAAAAAAAAAACCAAUGUAAAUAACUAUAAAUUAUUACAAGGCCACUCUUUCUAAUUGGCAAAAAUCUCUCUGUGGCAGUCACUCAAUACCUAAGGCUAACACCCUGGAAGGUCUGCUUCUCCCAUAGCAGCAUUCUUCCUACCAAAGAAAUCAGGGUUACUCUGUCCUGACAAGAGUGACCUCGGAUGGAGAGUUCCAUUCUAAUGUGUGUUUAGUAAUCCUUAUAUGGACAAUACAUUUUGUUGUACAUCUGUGAAAAUUGAUUUGUCACUGGCUCUACAUUUUAUAAUAAGGAGCCAUAUAAUUAGCUCCUUAAAUAUUCAUAAGACUUUAAAACCGGUAUAAAAAAAAUUCUCUGUUCUGUUCCUCCUUAAAAAAAAAAAAAAAAGAAAAGAAAGAAAAAAUGAAAUCCAAAUGGAUCCUUUGCUCACAGCAGUGACUUAAAUCACCUUGGGUAAUCCAUCCUUUUGCCAAGUAUGUUAAGGUAAGACAUUGUUGGUUUGUUUAGUUUUGUUUUGGCUUUUUUACCUGUAUGUCCAUUCUUAGCAGCAGAAUACAAGGCAGAAUGGCCAUCUUCACAGGAGUAAUUUAUAUCCAGUCCUUCUUCAUUAAGCAGCAUUGAUAAUAAAGUGACAUUUCCCUGGGCAGCAGCUUGCUGAAGAAGGGUGGGCCUGCCAGCCAGGGGGGCAGGACCACCACUCAUUAGCAAAGGGGUUAGGGAGGGUGACCAGCCUGUAGGUUAAAGUGACCCGAGUUAGUGAGCAGGAAGAAGAGACAGACACUACCAUUCCUUUUUGAAUCACACACACAGAGACAUGAACAUGUAUCCCUAGAAGAUUACAUGGUUUCUAACGUCAUCAGUCUGUUAACGCUUUCUUAGCACAAACCCACACUGUUAUUUUCAGACUUUCUAUCUGGUGCUAAUUAAAUUAACCUUGAUGAGGACAUGUUAUUUUUAGUUGUCAGUUUGGGACACACACA